rnacentral:lncRNA from 1 species
CCAGCGGAGGUCAACGACGGCCACCUGGACGCCACGCGCCACAUGUUGGUGACCAGCGUGGACCCUCAGGAAACGAUGGAUUAUUAUUGGUUGAUUGCAGUGGUUGGAUUUCUCUCAGUGGCUUUUAUUUUGGUGACGUUCCAGGGAAUACGCAGCAGGAUGCGUAGAAGGCCGGGAAAUGUGGAAGAACUUGAAGGAAAACAAACUGCGUUCUGAUCGCAGACGGCAACGCAUUCCUCUGUCGGACUGAAAAACAUGUGUUGAUCAUCCUCUGGAAAUAAUGCAUAACGGAUUGUUUAUUCAAAUGUAAUAAAUGUUUUACUGUCAGUGUGUUUGUCUCA